rnacentral:rRNA from 1 species
CUACGGGGUGCUGCAGUGAGGAAUAUUGCACAAUGGGGGGAACCCUGAUGCAGCAACGCCGCGUGGAGGAUGACGCAUUUCGGUGUGUAAACUCCUUUUAUAUGUCAAGAAAAUGACGGUAGCAUAUGAAUAAGCACCGGCUAACUCCGUGCCAGCAGCCGCGGUAAUACGGAGGGUGCAAGCGUUACUCGGAAUCCCUGGGCGUAAAGGACGCGUAGGCGGGUUGGAAGGCAGGUGUGAAAUCCUACAGCUUAACUGUAGAACUGCACUUGAAACUUCUAAUCUAGAGUAUGGGAGGGGGAGAUGGAAUUAGUGGUGUAGGGGUAAAAUCCGUAGAUAUCACUAGGAAUACCUAAAGCGAAGGCGAUCUCCUGGAACAUUACUGACGCUAAGGCGUGAAAGCGUGGGAAGCAAACAGGAUUAGAUACCCGCGUAGUC